rnacentral:rRNA from 1 species
CUUGGUCAUUUAGAGGAAGUAAAAGUCGUAACAAGGUUUCCGUAGGUGAACCUGCGGAAGGAUCAUUAAAGAACGCCCCGUUUUUUGAAAUGGGUAAUUCCCAAACCGUGUCUAUAUAUACCUUUGUUGCUUUGGCAGGUCGCCUUCUAGGCGUCGGCUCCGGCUGACUGCGCCUGCCAGAGGACCCAAACUCGUUUUGUUUAGUGUCGUCUGAGUACUAUAUAAUAGUUAAAACUUUCAACAACGGAUCUCUUGGUUCUGGCAUCGAUGAAGAACGCAGCGAAAUGCGAUAAGUAAUGUGAAUUGCAGAAUUCAGUGAAUCAUCGAAUCUUUGAACGCACAUUGCGCCCCUUGGUAUUCCGAGGGGCAUGCCUGUUCGAGCGUCAUUAUAACCACUCAAACCUCGGCUUGGUAUUGGGGUUCGCGGUUCCGCGGCCCUUAAAAUCAGUGGCGGUGCCGUCUGGCUCUAAGCGUAGUAAUUCUCUCGCUAUAGGGUCCAGGUGGUUACUUGUCAGAAUCCCCCACUUUUAUAGGUUGACCUCGGAUCAGGUAGGAAUACCCGCUGAACUUAAGCAUAUCAAUAAGCGGAGGA